UGAAAUUCCAGAUGAAUGUCAGUCAAUGGCUUGACUCAUAAGAAAAAUGUAACUGUGAAUUUGUAGUAAGCAUGCUACAUGAAUUCAGAUAAUUGAUGGAAAUUGAGGAACUGACAAAGCAACAGAGGGAAGUCUGAUAACAUUAGUAAAUUUCAGUAGUCUUGAAUCUUACUCUUCCAUAAACUUAAGUGAUCUCUUGAAAAAGACUUUUGUGUUGGCUUUCUAGGGAAAAAAAAUCUGCAGAAAAAAGUCCAGAAGUAGAAAGCAAGCCUUCUACCUAUGGUUCUU